rnacentral:rRNA from 1 species
CGGUAAUACGUAAGGUGCAAGCGUUAUCCGGAAUCAUUGGGCGUAAAGCGUCCGCAGGCGGUGUGUCAAGUGGAUUAUGAAAUACCGGAGCUCAACUUCGGUGCUGUAGUCCAAACUGAUACACUAGAGGUAUGGAGAGGUGCGUGGAAUUGUGCAAGUAGGGGUAAAAUCCGUAGAUAUGCACAGGAACACCAAAAGCGAAGGCAGCGCACUGGCCAUUACCUGACGCUCAGGGACGAAAGCGUGGGGAGCGAAAGGGAUUAGAUACCCCUGUAGUCCACGCCGUAAACGAUGCGUGCUCGGUGUUGGUUCCCUCGACCUGGAAUCAGUGCCUAAGGUAACCCGAUAAGCACGCCGCCUGUGUAGUACGAUCGCAAGAUUAAAACACAAAGGAAUAGACGGGGACCCACACAAGCGGUGGAUUGCGGGGUUUAAUUCGUUAGUAAGCGAGUAACCUUACCCAGGCUUGACAUCCUGAUCGUACCUUUUAGAAAUAAUUGGGUCAGUUCGGCUGGAUCAGUGACAGGCGCUGCAUGGUUGUCGUCAGCUCGUGCCUUGAGGUGUGCGGUUAAGUCCGUGAAGGAGCGCAACCCUUGUCGCAUGUUGUACUUUCAUGCGAAACUGCCGGUCAUAAACCGGAGGAAGGUGAGGAUGACGUCAAAUCAGCAUGGCCCUUAUGCCUGGGGCUACACCCACAAUACAAUGGCCAGUACAAACCGAAGCGAAACAGCAAUGUCGAGCAAAUCGGAGAAAACUGGUCCCAGUUCGGAUUGAAGUCUGCAACUCGACUUCAUGAAGCCGGAAUCGCUAGUAAACGUAUAUCAGUCAUGGUACGUUGAAUAUGUUCCUGGG